AGCAGCCAUAAAUGAAGAGCCUCCCAUAGUCACUCAGUACUUCGUGGGAAUGUUCAACUGAGAACCUUCCAGCUUUUUGGCAAUUUCCAAUAGACAGCAGACACGCAUAAUUACUACACUACAACUGAAGGAUAGACGGGGAAAAAAAGAAAAAGAAACACAAAGCAGCAACUCGUGAAUCCAAGAGAAACAAUUAAGUGGACUAAACUUCAGAGGAACUGGUUUAAGUAGAGAUGCUCCAGCCCUCUCAUCAUCUUUGUGGCCC